rnacentral:rRNA from 1 species
AUGCUGCUGCACAGGCACAAGUUCCCGCUCCUCUGCUGCGGCUGCGGUGGCGAUGGCGUCGCUACCGGCGUCGGCCCGCGAGGCGCAGCCAUCAACGACACCAACGUCCAGCAGACUGCCGGCAAGGGCGGCGCCAGGCAGCUGUCGUGGGCGCAGGUGGAGGCCAUGACGUCGGGCUUCACGUCGGCCGUGGUCGGCGAGGGCGGCUUCAGCACCGUCUACCUGGCGCGCCUCGCCGGCUCCGGAUCCUCCCAGCUCGCCGCCGUCAAGGUGCACCGCAGCAGCGAGCGCCUGCGCCGCGCCUUCCGGCAGGAGCUGGACGCGCUGCUCCGCGUCCGCCACCCGCACAUCGUCCGCCUCCUCGCCUUCUGCGACCAGCGCGACGAGGGCGUGCUCGUGCUCGAGUUCGCGCCCAACGGCAGCCUGCACGACCACCUCCACGGCCGCGACGGCGACGGCAACCAGGCCGCUCCCGCUGCCACGAUGCCGUGGGCGCGGCGCGCGGCCGUGGCGCUGCAGGUGGCGCGCGCGCUCGAGUACCUCCACGACCGGUGCGAGCCGCAGGUGGUGCACGGCGACGUCAAGGCCUCCAACGUGCUGCUGGACGCGGCCAUGGGCGCCCGCCUCUGCGACUUCGGCUCCGCGCGCGCCGGGUUCUCGGCCUCCGCGGCCGUCCGCACGCCGCGCGCCGUGCAGGGCUCGCCUGGGUACGUGGACCCGCACUACCUCCGCUCCGGCGUGCUCACAAAGAAGAGCGACGUGUACAGCCUGGGCGUGCUGCUCCUUGAGCUGCUCACCGGCACGCAGCCCUUCAGCGACGGCCGGCUCCUGACGUCCGCCGUCGCGCCGAUGAUCAAGGCCGGCUCGUGCUCGUGCGACGACGUGCCUAGGCUCGUCGACCAGAGGCUUGGGUGCCGGUAUGACGCGGACCAGGCGGCCACCGUGGCAACGCUGGCCGUGGCCUGCGUCGGGGAGAACCCGGCCCUCCGGCCGUCCAUGGCCGACGUGGUUCGGACCCUGGAGCAGAUCUCAGCCGCCGGGAGACGAUCGGACGGCGAAACCAAGCCGUGA